AUCACGUGCUUGUUUCUUCCGGUUCAUGCAGCGGCUCCGUAACAUGUCGUCACCGGGCAUGUGCCGCUCUUGGUUGUGCUAGUAUGGCGGUGCCGUGGAGCCGAUGCUGGAGGAGCGGCGCUGGAGCGGCUGUGCUGCUGGACUGGUGUUGCGGGUUCAGCAGAAGAGCUUUCACUCAUGCGGCUUCAGGAGGCGGAAGAACAGAGGGCUCCACCGCUGCGACCCAGGUUUUAUUCCGGCAAGGCCCUGUAUAUAAUUUUAACAAACCAAUGACUAUUGCAAGGACACCGGGGCACGUUGUCACCUGGGGAAGGUGUC